GGGCUUGAUGAUGAGAAUACAACAGUUAUCUUACAACGGUCUACUGAGAACUCUUUUGAUGCAAUAAAUAUUCUCCGAAGUUU